rnacentral:rRNA from 1 species
AACGUAGGUGGCGAGCGUUAUCCGGAUUUACUGGGCGUAAAGGGUCUGCAGGCUGCCCCUCAAGUGGUGUAUGAAAGGGCUCGGCUCAACCGGGCUAGGUUAUGCCAGACUGAUGGGCUAGAGAGCGAGAGCGGGACGUGGAAUUCCGGGUGUAGUGGUGAAAUGCGUAGAGAUCCGGAGGAACCCCAGAGGCGAAGGCGGCGUCCUGGCUCGCAUCUGACGCUCAGACACGACAUCAUGGGGAGCGAACGGG